AAACGACUCUCGGCAACGGAUAUCUCGGCUCUCGCAUCGAUGAAGAACGUAGCGAAAUGCGAUACUUGGUGUGAAUUGCAGAAUCCCGUGAACCAUCGAGUCUUUGAACGCAAGUUGCGCCCGAAACCUUCGGGUCGAGGGCACGUCUGCCUGGGCGUCACGC
rnacentral:rRNA from 1 species